AAUGAACGCUGGCGGCGUGCCUAACACAUGCAAGUCGUGCGAGAAAGUUCCUUCGGGAGCGAGUAAAGCGGCGCACGGGUGAGUAACACGUAGGUAACCUGCCCCCCCAGUCUGGAACAACUAGAGGAAACUCUAGCUAAUGCCGGAUGAGACCACGAUCCCUUUCGGGGGUUGCGGCCAAAGAUGGCCUCUACUUGUAAGCUAUCGCUGAGGGAUGGGCCUGCGGGCCAUUAGCUUGUUGGUGAGGUAACGGCUCACCAAGGCUGUGAUGGCUAGCUGGUCUGAGAGGAUGACCAGCCACACUGGGACUGAGACACGGCCCAGACUCCUACGGGAGGCAGCAGUGGGAUAUUGCGCAAGUGGGCGAAGCCUGACGCAGCGACGCCGCGUGGGUGA
rnacentral:rRNA from 1 species